CCGCAGCCACAGCCACUGCCACCCCCAGCCCCUGCACACACGCGAGUCGCAAGAAGAAGAAUUCAUAAUUACAGUAGCGUAGCCAUGAAACCAGCAGUGCUGGGGGUGAGGGAGGUGGGGGGAAAAGCGAAGCCUCGGCCAAAAUUGCGCGGGAGGGACACAUCCCACCCCCUGCCUCCCCGAGCAUCCUCCGCGGGAUUACGCGCCUGGCCGCGCUCCGCACCGGCUGCAGGACGGAGGGACCACGGCGGGGCUGCCGCAGAGGCUCCGCGCACAGAGCCUCACCUCUGGAACCCUUGGGAACGCUGACAGCAGCUCGGGGUCCCUGGGACGCCUCUUUGCACCCGCCGAGGGGUUCUGCAGGUAUUUUGGGACAUCCCUCCCUGGGCUCGCAUCCCGGCCGGUGCGGAUGCCGCCAGGAGCCCGUCGGGUGGUGCCAAUAAAGCUCUUUCCUUGCGGGUUCCUGCA